rnacentral:piRNA from 1 species
UACCUUCCUUAGGAUCUGCGAGCGACCA